AACGUAGGAGACAAACGUUAUCCAGAGUUACUGGGCGUAAAGGGCGUGUAGGUGGUUUCGUAAGUCUGGCGUGAAAAUUUUUCGGCUUAACCGGGAAAGGUCGUCGGAUACUGCGGAGCUAGAGGACGGUAGAGGCGUGUGGAAUUCCGGGGUGUAGUGGUGAAAUGCGUAGGAGAAUCCGGAGGAACACCAGUGGCGAAGGCGACACGCUGGGCCGUACCUGACACUGAUGCGCGACA
rnacentral:rRNA from 1 species